UACGUAGGGGGCGAGCGUUGUCCGGAUUUAUUGGGCGUAAAGAGCUCGUAGGCGGUUCGGUAAGUCAGAUGUAAAAACUCCAGGCUCAACUUGGAGAGGCCAUCUGAUACUGCCGUGACUAGAGUCCGGUAGAGGAGCACGGAAUUCCUGGUGUAGCGGUGAAAUGCGCAGAUAUCAGGAAGAACACCAAUGGCGAAGGCAGCUCUCUGGGACGGUACUGACGCUGAGACGCGAAAGCGUGGGGAGCGAACAGG
rnacentral:rRNA from 1 species